AGCAGCCGCGGUAAUUCCAGCUCCAAUAGCGUAUAUUAAAGUUGUUGCAGUUAAAAAGCUCGUAGUUGAAUUUCGAGAUCAGUACGCUGGUCGUGCCUUCGGUAUGCACUGGUGUCACUGGUUUCUCCCUUCUGAAGAACCGUCAUGCCAUUCAGUUGGUGUGGCGGGGAAUCAGGACUGUUACUUUGAAAAAAUUAGAGUGUUUAAAGCAGGCUCGCGCUUGAAUACAUUAGCAUGGAAUAAUGAAAUAGGACGUUUGACCCUAUUUUGUUGGUUUCUAGGAUCGACGUAAUGAUUAAUAGGGAUAGUUGGGGGCAUUAGUAUUCAAUUGUCAGAGGUGAAAUUCUUGGAUUUAUUGAAGACUAACUACUGCGAAAGCAUUUGCCAAGGAUGUUUUCAUUAAUCAAGAACGAAAGUUAGGGGAUCGAAGACGAUCAGAUACCGUCGUAGUCUUAACCAUAAACUAUGCCGACUAGGGAUCGGAUGAUGUUAAUUUUUAAUGA
rnacentral:rRNA from 1 species